rnacentral:rRNA from 1 species
GGGGAAACGACAUCGAAAGCUUGCUUUUGAUGGGCGUCGACCGGCGCACGGGUGAGUAACGCGUAUCCAACCUGCCCACCACUUGGGGAUAACCUUGCGAAAGUAAGACUAAUACCCAAUGACGUCUCUAGAAGACAUCUGAAAGAGAUUAAAGAUUUAUCGGUGAUGGAUGGGGAUGCGUCUGAUUAGCUUGUUGGCGGGGUAACGGCCCACCAAGGCAACGAUCAGUAGGGGUUCUGAGAGGAAGGUCCCCCACAUUGGAACUGAGACACGGUCCAAACUCCUACGGGAGGCAGCAGUGAGGAAUAUUGGUCAAUGGACGAGAGUCUGAACCAGCCAAGUAGCGUGCAGGAUGACGGCCCUAUGGGUUGCAAACUGCUUUUAUAAGGGAAUAAAGUGAGUCUCGUGAGACUUUUUGCAUGUACCUUAUGAAUAAGGACCGGCUAAUUCCGUGCCAGCAGCCGCGGUAAUACGGAAGGUCCGGGCGUUAUCCGGAUUUAUUGGGUUUAAAGGGAGCGUAGGCCGGAGAUUAAGCGUGUUGUGAAAUGUAGACGCUCAACGUCUGCACUGCAGCGCGAACUGGUUUCCUUGAGUACGCACAAAGUGGGCGGAAUUCGUGGUGUAGCGGUGAAAUGCUUAGAUAUCACGAAGAACUCCGAUUGCGAAGGCAGCUCACUGGAGCGCAACUGACGCUGAAGCUCGAAAGUGCGGGUAUCGAACAGGAUUAGAUACCCUGGUAGUCCGCACGGUAAACGAUGGAUGCCCGCUGUUGGUCUGAAUAGGUCAGCGGCCAAGCGAAAGCAUUAAGCAUCCCACCUGGGGAGUACGCCGGCAACGGUGAAACUCAAAGGAACUGACGG